GGGGAUGUAGCUCAGUAGGUAGAGUGCUUGCUUAGCAUGCACAAGGCCCUGGGUUCAAUCCCCGGUCCCA
rnacentral:tRNA from 1 species